UUCUGUGAUUAAUCCCAUCAAUUGAGAGGUCGGGUAUAAAUAGUCUGGCAAGUGUUCUGCUGCGAUUCUGGGAGGCCAGGAAUGUCAAGCGCUCAUGUGGCUUGAUAUGCUGAUGGUGGAUGUUAAUAUUUAGAUGUAUCACUUGGAAAUAUAUUCUCUUCCCUGAAACAAAGAAUAUCACCAUUAUUUGUUUCCAGAGGCUGAUAAGAUCAGAGACUGAAACCAAAGGUUAUCAACCACGAUGAUACAAGUAGAUCGGUUUCAGACAAUGAAACCAAACUUCAGGAAGAGAAAGUUUGAAAGUUGAUCCCAGCUGGAGUCUCCAGCGUUGUUGUCUCCUACAGCGUUCAAAGGUUUCAGGAGAGAUUGUUGGAUCCAAGAGAAGCAAGCAGGAUUAAGCUGAGCUUAAUAAAUAAGUGUAAGUGGGAUAUUACAUUGUUGAAGAUGAUUCUUAAAUGUAUCAGUGUGGUUGUCUCCAACCGAUCUUAAGCCAGUUGAUUGGUAGCCUUGAGGUGUCAAUCGAUACAGAGCUUCAAACAUCCACUAUGAAUAUUGACAAUAUUUAUUUUAGCCACUAUGUCUCUCUUACAAUCAUGGUUUAGUUGUUUGUGAAUAAUAUAUGUUUAUGCUGUGUUGGUUGUUGUUGUAAAAGAUCUGCUUCUCUAAACCCAUCAUUAACAUUGCUGAUUUUGGACUGGCAGGUGUGGUUAAUCAGUGUUCACAUUUAUAGAGUAUGUUGUUAUACGCCGUUGACACACCAUUGCUGCCUUACUGACUCUAAAAGCUUUGUUAUGAAGGUAAUCGGAACCUGAAGUACUUCUACAGUCCUAUGUAUACACAUUAAAAGUUGAUUAGUAUCAGUUUAUGUGGUACUCCAUCAGGUUCAUUUAUUCUCGGACACUAAUCUUUUGCCUUUUACAUGAUCUUUCAGUGGCUCUGCUCUGGGAUCCAUGCAACAAACCAACUGAUGCAGAGGCUCUGUACGUUCCGUCCUUUCAGGAAUAGAGGCGAACAUCCACGUUAUAGUGAGAUGUUCGGCACGGGAGAUGUUGUCGCAUCUAGUUUAGCAGGCGGCCAUUCUACGGCUUUGAAUUUUAUUCCGGACUCUCAGACGUCACAUAUAGAGCUACACAACCGCCUCUUCCUCCUACUCCUUCUGUUCCUCCCAUUGCACCACCGCUCCCUCCACAUGCGAUUUGAGACCGUGCUCCUCACGCGGUUCCAGAUGGUGCUCCUUAUGCGGUUCCAGAUGGUGCUCCUCAUACACCUGCAGCCGGAUUUCAUCCUGAUUUGUUGGUGCCGCGAGAUGCACUUUAUGCUUGUUAUACAAUGAGGGUCUUUUCGCCCAACCGGGACGAGAAGGUUAGAUGUCUUGGACCCCGAUCGAUAGCCAGGAACUUACUGGUUUGGGGUCAACGGUCAUGUGGGACAAAGUUUUUUAACACGAUCAAAGGCUAUUUCACGGAGCCGGGUCUUAACUGGACUCUGACACCUGAGCACAUUAGGACCACAUGGUUCAAAUGUUUUGCGCAAAAAUAUAAUUUGUCCAUAGGGAUUAGCGAGAAGGUGAAGGUGGCAUUUGUUGCGAAGACCGAAGACCCCCUAUAAACAUUUUCUCCAACUGGAAGGACAUUUGGGAGUUCAAAGGCUAUUAAGCGAAGCUCUUCUCCCUCUCAAAGGAAGUGUGGUAUGGUCUCAUCCGCUAUAGGACCAACCCCCACUCGGUCUGAGUCACCACGCAAUGCUCCGCUUCUUGUACGAUGAGGGAUGAGCACAAACGUUUGCCAAUGGUUUACACUUCUGGCCAAACACCCCAUGCCGGUGUCCGUCUACAGAUGGCUAAAAAGGAAGAAAAAAACAAUCCUAGCAAGCACCGGCUCUGACUUGAAACAGAUUUGGAAAUUCAAAGGAAAUGAAGCGAAGCCCCCCUCCGAAGCCCCCCCAACCCACGAACGAUGUAUGGGAUGGUCUCAUCUGAUCUUUUCCACCUCUGAGUCGCUGUGCAGUUCUCCGCUUCUCGUAUGACGAGGGACGAACAUGGACAUUUGCCGAUGGUUCACACUUCUGGCCAAACACCAUACGCCGGUUUCCGUCUAGAGAUGCUAAGUGAUUUUAAUAAAAAAAAUUUCCUAUUUUAUAUUUUCAUUAAUUUUAUUCUACUUUUAGUUUUUAGGACGCAAAGGAAGGAGUGCUUCCAUCUCUAUCUGACCAUUUUCAGGCUACACAUAAGACACAAGACAGUGUUUUCAGAAAAGCUGUACAAAGACCAACUGAUGUAGCAGUCUCCGGAUGGGUUGCCGU